rnacentral:rRNA from 1 species
GGGACACGUGGUAUCCUGUCUGAAUAUGGGGGGACCAUCCUCCAAGGCUAAAUACUCCUGACUGACCGAUAGUGAACCAGUACCGUGAGGGAAAGGCGAAAAGAACCCCGGCGAGGGGAGUGAAAAAGAACCUGAAACCGUGUACGUACAAGCAGUGGGAGCCUCUUUAUGGGGUGACUGCGUACCUUUUGUAUAAUGGGUCAGCGACUUAUAUUCUGUAGCAAGGUUAACCGUAUAGGGGAGCCGAAGGGAAACCGAGUCUUAACUGGGCGUUAAGUUGCAGGGUAUAGACCCGAAACCCGGUGAUCUAGCCAUGGGCAGGUUGAAGGUUGGGUAACACUAACUGGAGGACCGAACCGACUAAUGUUGAAAAAUUAGCGGAUGACCUGUGGCUGGGGGUGAAAGGCCAAUCAAACCGGGAGAUAGCUGGUUCUCCCCGAAAGCUAUUUAGGUAGCGCCUCGUGAACUCAUCUUCGGGGGUAGAGCACUGUUUCGGCUAGGGGGCCAUCCCGGCUUACCAACCCGAUGCAAACUACGAAUACCGAAGAAUGUUAUCACGGGAGACACACGGCGGGUGCUAACGUCCGUCGUGAAGAGGGAAACAACCCAGACCGCCAGCUAAGGUCCCAAAGUCAUGGUUAAGUGGGAAACGAUGUGGGAAGGCACAGACAGCCAGGAUGUUGGCUUAGAAGCAGCCAUCAUUUAAAGAAAGCGUAAUAGCUCACUGGUCGAGUCGGCCUGCGCGGAAGAUGUAACGGGGCUAAACCAUGCACCGAAGCUGCGGCAGCGACACUAUGUGUUGUUGGGUAGGGGAGCGUUCUGUAAGCCGUUGAAGGUGUGCUGUGAGGCAUGCUGGAGGUAUCAGAAGUGCGAAUGCUGACAUAAGUAACGAUAAAGCGGGUGAAAAGCCCGCUCGCCGGAAGACCAAGGGUUCCUGUCCAACGUUAAUCGGGGCAGGGUGAGUCGACCCCUAAGGCGAGGCCGAAAGGCGUAGUCGAUGGGAAACAGGUUAAUAUUCCUGUACUUGGUGUUACUGCGAAGGGGGGACGGAGAAGGCUAUGUCAGCCGGGCGACGGUUGUCCCGGUUUAAGCAUGUAGGCGGAGGUUCCAGGUAAAUCCGGUACCUUUUAACGCUGAGGUGUGAUGACGAGGCACUACGGUGCUGAAGUGAUAAAUGCCCUGCUUCCAGGAAAAGCCUCUAAGCAUCAGGUAACACGAAAUCGUACCCCAAACCGACACAGGUGGUCAGGUAGAGAAUACCAAGGCGCUUGAGAGAACUCGGGUGAAGGAACUAGGCAAAAUG